GUGGGGAAUUUUGGACAAUGGGGGAAACCCUGAUCCAGCCAUGCCGCGUGGGUGAAGAAGGCCUUCGGGUUGUAAAGCCCUUUCGGCCGGGACGAAAUCGCACGGGUGAAUAUCCCGUGUGGAUGACGGUACCGGAAGAAGAAGCACCGGCUAACUACGUGCCAGCAGCCGCGGUAAUACGUAGGGUGCGAGCGUUAAUCGGAAUUACUGGGCGUAAAGCGUGCGCAGGCGGCCUCUUAAGCCAGAUGUGAAAUCCCCGGGCUUAACCUGGGAACUGCGUUUGGAACUGGGAGGCUAGAGUGUGGCAGAGGGGGGUGGAAUUCCCGGUGUAGCAGUGAAAUGCGUAGAUAUCGGGAGGAACACCAAUGGCGAAGGCAGCCCCCUGGGUUAACACUGACGCUCAUGCACGAAAGCGUGGGGAGCAAACAGGAUUAGAAACCCGAGUAGUCC
rnacentral:rRNA from 1 species